ensembl:lncRNA
GGGCGCCCAUGGCGGAGUGUGGCCCGGGCGCCACAGGUGGUGCCCUGCCCACCUCCCCCGGCCGGGCCCUCAGCGCCAAUGGCGCCCUGAUAGCGGGAGCCCGAGAAGGCGCGGUAGCGCCAAGGGUGGUCGCCUUAGCCAAGGUCUGGCGCACUAUGACAGCGGCGGGGUUUCCCACAGAGACUACAGACUCGCAGUGUCGGGGGACGAAGUCCGGGCCAGCCCUGCCAGGGAACCUCGAGGCAUGGUGCUCUGGCCGACCCCUAGCCCGGUCGCUGGUCCGGUCCCCAGGGACAGCAAGCUGAGCGGCCUGUGAGCAGCAGCAGCGUCAAGGUCCAGCAAGUAUCGGCAUAGCAAGAUUUCCUGAAGUGGAAAUGAGUACAGACCACAGCAGCACAGCCUGCUUGACUGUAAGAGACUUGUACAUAACAUAGCUCCCACUAAUUCUUCAUUCAACAGAAAACCUGCUGGAUAAAAGAAUAAGGAAGGAUUAGAGGAAACAAUGCAGACACUCUGAAGCAGAGAGAACUGAUCACCCAGGAAAGUGACUUGGGAGAAACAGUGUAGAAGAAUUGUGACAUCUUUGAGAUCAGGUAGGAACAUAGGCUGGCAGAAGCCAGUUGGAUUUCCUGUCCUAUAUAACUAUCCUUUGUGGGUGACUGACCUCCUACGUGGUUUCAGCCUCAGUCAGCUAAAGAACUACUCGGAGUAUUAUUCUGGUACAGUUUAUAUGAAUUUUGUCCAUAAUGCAAUAUAUGUGAUCUUCAAGAUUUCUUGGUAUUUUCUACUUCUUCUUCCUCUUACCUCUGUGGUAAACUCUGAGAACAUUUUCUUUUCUGUUCUCUCACAAAUUGCCUUACAAUGACUAUACACAUACAGGGGUUCUGUUCUGUUUGUACACCACCAUCACCUUUAAUGCUUAGAGUGUACACUGGGAAGAUUUACACGGAGCCCAUUCUCAGUGAUUACAGGAUGUAUGCAGUGCCCAU